rnacentral:rRNA from 1 species
CCUACGGGCGGCAGCAGUGGGGGAUAUUGGACAAUGGGGGGAACCCUGAUCCAGCGACGCCGCGUGAGUGAAGAAGUAUUUCGGUGUGUAAAGCUCUGUCAGCAGGGAAGAAAGAAAUGACGGUACCUGACCAAGAAGCCCCGGCUAACUACGUGCCAGCAGCCGCGGUAAUCCGGAGGGGGCAAGCGUUAUCCGGAAUUACUGGGUGUAAAGGGAGCGUAGACGGUUAAGUAAGUCUGGAGUGAAAGGCCGGGGCCCAACCCCGGGACUGCUCUGGCAACGAUUGAACUUGAGUGCAGGAGAGGUAAGCGGAAUUCCUGGUGUAGCGGUGAAAUGCGUAGAUAUUAGGAGGAACACCAGUGGCGAAGGCGGCUUACUGGACUGCAACUGACGUGGAGGCUCGAAAGCGUGGGGAGCAAACAGGAUUAGAUACCCGGGUAGUC